rnacentral:piRNA from 1 species
UCAUGAGGUUCCUGUAGCAGCUUGCAGCUU